CUUUUGUAUAAUGGGUCAGCGACUUAUAUUCAGUGGCAAGGUUAACCAUUUAGGGGAGCCGUAGGGAAACCGAGUCUUAACUGGGCGUUCAGUCUCUGGAUAUAGACCCGAAACCGGGUGAUCUAGCCAUGGGCAGGUUGAAGGUUGAGUAACAUCAACUGGAGGACCGAACCGACUAAUGUUGAAAAAUUAGCGGAUGACUUGUGGCUAGGGGUGAAAGGCCAAUCAAACUCGGAGAUAGCUGGUUCUCCCCGAAAGCUAUUUAGGUAGCGCCUCGGACGAAUACUACUGGGGGUAGAGCACUGUUAAGGCUAGGGGGUCAUCCCGACUUACCAACCCUUUGCAAACUCCGAAUACCAGUAAGUACUAUCCGGGAGACACACGGCGGGUGCUAACGUCCGUCGUGGAGAGGGAAACAACCCAGACCGCCAGCUAAGGUCCCAAAUUACAGCUAAGUGGGAAACGAUGUGGGAAGGCUCAGACAGCUAGGAUGUUGGCUUAGAAGCAGCCAUCAUUUAAAGAAAGCGUAAUAGCUCACUAGUCGAGUCGGCCUGCGCGGAAGAUGUAACGGGGCUAAGCUGUAAACCGAAGCUGCGGCAAUGCGAUUUAUCGUAUUGGGUAGGGGAGCGUUCUGUAAGCCGUUGAAGGUGUGUUGUAAAGCAUGCUGGAGGUAUCAGAAGUGCGAAUGCUGACAUGAGUAACGACAAGGGGGGUGAAAAACCUCCCCGCCGGAAGACCAAGGGUUCCUGUCCAACGUUAAUCGGGGCAGGGUAAGUCGACCCCUAAGGCGAGGCCGAAAGGCGUAGUCGAUGGGAAACGGGUUAAUAUUCCCGUACUUCUUACAAUUGCGAUGGGGGGACGGAGAAGGCUAGGUGGGCCUGGCGACGGUUGUCCAGGUUCAAGUGCGUAGGCUUGAGGGUUAGGUAAAUCCGGCUCUCUUUAAGGCUGAGACACGACGUCGAGCUACUACGGUAGUGAAGUCAUUGAUGCCAUGCUUCCAGGAAAAGCCUCUAAGCUUCAGAUUGUAAGGAAUCGUACCCCAAACCGACACAGGUGGUCGGGUAGAGAAUACCAAGGCGCUUGAGAGAACUCGGGUGAAGGAACUAGGCAAAAUGGUACCGUAACUUCGGGAGAAGGUACGCUCUUGAUGGUGAAGUCCCUCGCGGAUGGAGCUGAUGAGAGUCGCAGAUACCAGGUGGCUGCAACUGUUUAUUAAAAACACAGCACUGUGCAAAAUCGUAAGAUGACGUAUACGGUGUGACGCCUGCCCGGUGCCGGAAGGUUAAUUGAUGGGGUUAGCGUAAGCGAAGCUCUUGAUCGAAGCCCCGGUAAACGGCGGCCGUAACUAUAACGGUCCUAAGGUAGCGAAAUUCCUUGUCGGGUAAGUUCCGACCUGCACGAAUGGCGUAAUGAUGGCCACGCUGUCUCCACCCGAGACUCAGUGAAAUUGAAAUCGCUGUGAAGAUGCAGUGUACCCGCGGCUAGACGGAAAGACCCCGUGAACCUUUACUACAGCUUGGCACUGAACAUUGAACCUACAUGUGUAGGAUAGGUGGGAGGCUUUGAAGACGUGACGCUAGUUGCGUUGGAGCCGUCCUUGAAAUACCACCCUUGUAUGUUUGAUGUUCUAACUUAGCCCCGUUAUCCGGGGUGAGGACAGUGCCUGGUGGGUAGUUUGACUGGGGCGGUCUCCUCCCAAAGAGUAACGGAGGAGCACGAAGGUGGGCUAAUCACGGUUGGACAUCGUGAGGUUAGUGCAAUGGCAUAAGCCCGCUUAACUGCGAGAAUGACGGUUCGAGCAGGUGCGAAAGCAGGUCAUAGUGAUCCGGUGGUUCUGUAUGGAAGGGCCAUCGCUCAACGGAUAAAAGGUACUCCGGGGAUAACAGGCUGAUACCGCCCAAGAGUUCAUAUCGACGGCGGUGUUUGGCACCUCGAUGUCGGCUCAUCACAUCCUGGGGCUGAAGUCGGUCCCAAGGGUAUGGCUGUUCGCCAUUUAAAGUGGUACGCGAGCUGGGUUUAGAACGUCGUGAGACAGUUCGGUCCCUAUCUGCCGUGGGCGUUGGAAGAUUGAAGGGGGCUGCUCCUAGUACGAGAGGACCGGAGUGGACGAACCUCUGGUGUUCGGGUUGUGUCGCCAGACGCAUUGCCCGGUAGCUAAGUUCGGAAUCGAUAACCGCUGAAAGCAUCUAAGCGGGAAGCGAGCC
rnacentral:rRNA from 1 species